rnacentral:rRNA from 1 species
ACCUUCCUACGGGGGGCAGCAGUGAGGAAUAUUGGUCAAUGACCGGAAGGCUGAACCAGCCAUGCCGCGUGAAGGUCAGUGCCCUAUGGGCGUUAAACUUCUUUUGUGCGGGAGAAAUAAUGGUCACGUGUGGCCAGACGAGAGUACCGUACGAAUAAGCAUCGGCUAACUCCGCGCCAGCAGCCGCGGUAAUACGGGGGAUGCAAGCGUUAUCCGGAUUUAUUGGGUUUAAAGGGUGCGUAGGAUGUGAG